rnacentral:rRNA from 1 species
AGUGAACGCUGGCGGCAGGCCUAACACAUGCAAGUCGAGCGGCAGCGCGUCCGACCACCCUCGGGUGGUCGGAUGGCGGCGAGCGGCGGACGGGUGAGGAAUGCAUCGGAAUCUGCCUCGUUGUGGGGGAUAACGUAGGGAAACUUACGCUAAUACCGCAUACGACCUACGGGUGAAAGUGGGGGACCUUCGGGCCUCACGCGAUGAGAUGAGCCGAUGCCGGAUUAGCUAGUUGGCGGGGUAAAGGCCCACCAAGGCGACGAUCCGUAGCUGGUCUGAGAGGAUGAUCAGCCACACUGGAACUGAGACACGGUCCAGACUCCUACGGGAGGCAGCAGUGGGGAAUAUUGGACAAUGGGGGCAACCCUGAUCCAGCCAUGCCGCGUGUGUGAAGAAGGCCUGG